rnacentral:rRNA from 1 species
GACGAACGCUGGCGGCGUGCUUAACACAUGCAAGUCGAACGGAAAGGCCCUGCUUUUGUGGGGUGCUCGAGUGGUGAACGGGUGAGUAACACGUGAGUAACCUGCCCUUGACUUUGGGAUAACUUCAGGAAACUGGGGCUAAUACCGGAUAGGAGCUCCUGCUGCAUGGUGGGGGUUGGAAAGUCUCGGCGGUUGGGGAUGGACUCGCGGCUUAUCAGCUUGUUGGUGGGGUAGUGGCUUACCAAGGCUUUGACGGGUAGCCGGCCUGAGAGGGUGACCGGCAACAUUGGGACUGAGAUACGGCCCAGACUCCUACGGGAGGCAGCAGUGGGGAAUAUUGCACAAUGGGCGGAAGCCUGAUGCAGCAACGCCGCGUGCGGGAUGACGGCCUUCGGGUUGUAAACCGCUUUCGCCUGUGACGAAGCGUGAGUGACGGUAAUGGGUAAAGAAGCACCGGCUAACUACGUG